AGACGAAAAGAAAAUUCCUUGGCUCAACAUAAUAGCAGCAUUUCGUGUUUGUCUCGUACUUCAAACAAUUUUCCCAAAAUGUGACCUCUUGUCUGUUCUGUGCAUCUGUAGCAUGCAUGAACCAAGUGGAAGGAAAGUAGGUCAUUUGAUAUGUAUACCAUACGAGUGAGUUUGAGACCUGUAUCUGCUGUCUUGUGAUAUUUUCCUCACGGUGAGGCUACUAAAUAAACCCAAGCAGCACAAAGGACUGGGAUUCGGCUGGGAACGUAACGGGGAUGAUGGGUUCGAGGUGGCCGAUAUCGCCGUCACGAGCCCGACUGCUUCCCGACUAUGUGAGGGGGAAGAAUUGAGGGAGAGGGAAACUACAUAAAAUUAUUUCCCGAUAGAUCCCCGUUCGUGUCCCGGUCAGAAUUCUUUCCCGAUAGAUUCCCGUUUGCGUCCCGGCCAGGAUUCUUUCCCGAUGGAUCCCCGUUAACGUCCCGAUCUGCUGUGGUGUACUGGCUAAGUAUUUCUUCCCGCUCGUCUCCCGAUGUUUAUGCAGAUUCGGUAACACGUGAUCGGAUGGUACAGCUCGAGACAAAGUUUCUGAAACACGGGUUUUCUGUAUUGGACUUUUCCCAGCCACCUUUGGGAAAUGCUUGUUGAGCAGAAUCCUUGGGGAUUCUGUUCAACAAGUGUUCCCCUUAGGCCGCAGGGGAGGCGUAGAGAAGUGAAAUACAAAACACCCGUGUUUCAGAAACUUUUGUCCCAAGCUGUACGAGACAGUGAAGCAUCCCUUCAGGAAGGAAUUUGGCUGUCUGGUAUGAGGUAACUCUUUCAAACAUUGGGCUGCAGUUCACUUCAUGUGUUGUGUUGUGUUGUGUUGUAUGACGGAAAACAUGCACACGCAGCACCCUGAACAGAAGUAUUAAUGGAGCCUCACUGCAAAGCACGCAAGUACAAGAUACUCGGGAAGAGUCGGCCACGCCCGAACGAAACGACCGAAUCUCCCGAAUCGAAAAACUCACGUGAAACGAAACGAAGAGAGCUUUAGCAAGUCGAACUGAUCGGACGAAAACCGCUGCACCGAAACCCGCAAAGACUACGCUGGAGCUCCCUGCAUUUGGGCUACCGCGACUGCCAUCGCCAUCAUCUUUGUUUUGGUUGUCAUUGCUGGGUGCAAAUGGCCGGCGUGUGUGUUCUUAAUGUUUCUGAGCAACAAGUUUUGCAAAGUUUGGUUCGGAGGGAGUAUGGAACGCCGUUUUGUGGUCAACGUGGCCAGAGUGCCUCAAAAGUACUCCUGCCGCAUUCUGGUCACUGUUAUAAAUGUGAAUCCCUGCCACCAUCAGCAGCUUUUAAGUAGAUUCAUGGCACAUGAGGAACCUGCGAUGUACACCAUCGCACACAGUCAAGAAAAAUGUAGCAUUUAACCUUGCUUUCCUUCAUUAUAACAAACAAAAAAAAAAAGAAAGAAAGAAAGAACACUAGAGAAAGGGUCGGCAAAACAGUGAGUGUUUUGUUGUUUUUGAUUCUAUUGAUCUCUCACUGUCAGGUUGCACUGCCGAUCUGUUCACAAUCAUAACUAACUAAUACCUUAGCUUUGGCCAAUCUCAUGUUGCAAUUUUGCUUCAAACACAACAUUCAGGGAUUCUUAUGAAAACAGCAGCAUUUCUGAAAGAUCCUGGAACGGCCACAAUCUCAAGAGGUAGUACGAUUCUACCCGUCGUCAUAUUUCGUCCGCCAAGCCAUUGCGCGGAGAUGUUGGCUCCAUGCCCAUUUCAACACAGGCUCACCCGCGCUCGCUCGCGCGUCGUCGCUUGUCUUCCAUGCCACCAGCCAGCGCUGCGCGCUGCCUGUCGCGCAUGCGCUGUUCUUGUUGGCUUCGCUUUGGCUGCUGUAACGGUCGUUUCUCGUCGCCGCGUGUAGUUCGCGUAAUUGUGAGCGUUCCAGCAAGUCUAAAUAAAGCGUUUUAGAGGCUUUGUAUUGUUGUUCUCACCUGGUGCUGUCGUUCUUGCAACCCGUCUGAUAUUGCAACUGUCUGUAAGUGGAAGCGUUUCUUCUAACCGCGAGCAAACCAGUCGGUCUCGUUUGACAUGUCAAAGAGUGAAGACGCUACCUUGCAUGUGAAGCCAAAUCGUUCUUCGCCUUCAGGAUUAUUGCCGUUUCAGGGAUCUGCGCAACGACAGGGAGAUAGAACGCCAAGUGAAGUCGACUGUGUACUUUGUGCAGACGGUUCAGCGUGUAUGACGCAGCGGCCUUCAGCAAGAGAAACUCAAGCACCGUGUUCAAAUGCAGUGGGGACUCUUGCUGGCCAUGACAACGCUUAGAAGUGCUUUUUCGGAAGAAGGACAAGUUGGACCGGAAAUGAGGACCUAGGUGUGCUCUUUUGCGCUGUUGUUCACCGUUCGAUCAUUACCAGUUUUUGUGCCCCCGUGAGUUCAACGCUUAGGUAUGUUGAUGAUAAAUGGAUAUGCGUUAAAAGGUACGUACUCCGGAGUGGUGAAUUGUUCUGGUGAAGUGAUUCGUUGCUGCUAUCUCCUGUUUCGUGAGGGUUCUUGUCGGUACUCAUAUACCGCAGGCAUGAGGGGCUUUCUUUGCAGAACAUUUCAGUAAACCAAGACUGCAGCAUUUUCAAGAUUGCCAUAACCAGCAUCAAUGCAGCUCUCAUGUCAACAUCAGCAUCAAGACAGCUCUGAUAGACCAACUCUUACUGUGUACGUUCCCCCCCCCUUUUGAGACACCAUUGAAGGGCCAGUGGUUACGCAGGCAGGCUGGAUAUUACGGUAGACCAUUUCCACCCUUUUCUUUUCAGGCUACAUUGGCAAUGACAGUAGUUAUGCGGACAUGCUGCAUAUUUCUGUAUACCCCUCUUUUUUUGUUUUUCAUUUCAGACACAAUUGGCAUGCAUUGGAUGAUGCAGGCAGACUGCUUAGUGUACACCACUCGUCGUUUAGUCUAUUGAGGUGCUCCAAGUGUUGUGUCAGUCUAUUUCCUCUCCGAAAAUAAAAUGUUGGGCUCUACA